rnacentral:lncRNA from 1 species
CUUGAGCGAGUGAAACAGUGCAGUGGCUUAAGAUAGUUCUCUUUAGUUUUCCCAUGAUUUAUCACAAGCAAGUUCACAGCAGGUUAAAAUAAUUGAAUGCGGUGAUAGCAUACAUACUGGCAUGAUUUUAUGAGCCGUCAUUCAUAACAUAUUUGUCCCAAAGCAUAAUUUCCAUGAUAGAACUCUGAUUCACAUGUAAUUUUUUUGCAGCGACGACACAGUUGAAAUAACUCCUUCGUGGAGGCUGGCUACAUUUUCACAACGUCUGGUCCCAAGCUAGAUCUUCGGGAAAAGGGAUCAAGGAAAUGACUAUUCCUCCAAAUAAAAUGCAACAAGAAGAAUGAAAAAACGUAGAAGAGAAAGCCUCGUGAAACUGAGAAGCAUCUGCAACCACAAACUACAAAAUGUAGCUGCUAAACAAAAUGAAAGUUGGAUCAAAGUGGUGGCAAAUAUCAAGAGUGAAUAUACUCCACGGCAGAGUACUGCAAAUGCCGGGUCCGGUGGCUCACACCUGUAAUCCCAGCACUUUGGGAGGCCGAGGCAGGUGGAUCACCUGAGGUCGGGAGUUCAAGACCAGUCUGACCAAUAUGGAGAAACCCCAUCUCUACUGAAAAUAUAAAAUUAGCUGGGCAUGGUGCUGCAUGCCUGUAAUCCCAGCUACUCGGGAGACUGAGGCAGGGGAAUUGCUUGAACCUGGGAGGUGGAGGUUAUGGUGAGCUGAGAUAGCAUCAUUGCACUGUAGCCUGGGUAACAAGAGUGAAACUCCAUCUGAAAAAAAAAAAAAUUCCUUGUAAGGUGAAUUAUCAAAAUAAAAACAUAAUUAUAAUUGUACUUCAUUCAGUUACAAAUAAAACAUAUCUACUCAAUGUUUGAGUAAUUGAAUCUUUAAUUUAAAUAAAAAUAAGGCCCGGCACAGUGGUUCAUGCCUAUAAUCAUAGUGCUUUGGGAGGCGGGAGGAUCGCUUGAGCCCUUGGCAUUCACGGCUGCAGUGAGCUGUGAUUGCAUUACUGAACUCUAGCCUGGGUGAUGGAGGUGCGAGAUCCUGUUUCUAAAAACAUGAAAAUAGUUAAAAAUUAAAAAUAAAUAGUAGGCAGGGCGUGGUGGCUCACACCUGUAAUCCCAGCACUUUGGGAGGCUGAGGCAGGCGGAUCACGAGGUCAGGAGAUCGAGACCAUCCUGGCUAACAUGGUGAAACCCCG